AAAUUUCUAUCUUAAAAUAUCAAUAUUUUUCUACAUCAACAAAUCUUGCUUCUACUUUGGUAAAGAAUACAAAAAGUUUUCAAAAAUUUAAAUUAAAACAGGCAAGAAUGCAGCGCGAUGAUGGAGUUCCUGUAUAUUUAAAAGCUGGUUUACGUGAUAAGAUUUUAUUUAAUAUAACAUUGGGUUCAGUUUUAUUUGUAGGCAUUGAAACUAUUCGGUCAUUACAUGAACUCAUUGAAAAUUCUUAAAUUCGUUUUUGACAAUAUUCAAUAUUAAUAUAUAAAUAAGUUAUAUAUCUGAAUAUUUGUUAAAGUUAUACGUUUCAAUGUUACGUAUUUAAUAAAAUAGACGAAUUACGUUAAUAAACUUUUUACUGCUGAAAAACAACAUUAAUACACAAUAUAUAUUACAUAGAUAGAUAGAUAUAGUUAUUUUCUUACAUUUAGUGUUGUAUAAGCUUUGGAAGAAAUUUGUAAGGCACUUGGUUGUUCUGCGAAUACCAAUAUGGAUAUUAAAUUGUAUAUUAAUAUUAAUUAAUAGGAGCAGAUGAUAGUAUAAGAAUAUAUUAUUAUAUUAUUUAUUUUUUUAUACAUUACAUUAAGUUAUAUUAACAGAAUAGAAAACAGAUAAAAGAUUUUUAGAAAUUUAAAAAAACAACGUUUAAAUGCAAGUAGUAUAAAAUUAUAAGAUUUCAUUUGUUGCAAUUGAAAUUUGAUAGAGUAACUGGAUAAAAUGUUUGUACCAUAAACAGCCUGAC